UAGAGUUCACUCAGGCACUGCUACUUGCCAAAUGGUUCGGAGCUGAGACCCACAAACCCACUCCGCCGCCGCAUCAUCACUCAUAAGUCACAAUGUCCACUCUCCUCUUCCUCGUCGUCCUCCUGACAACCACCACGAGCAGCGGCGGCGCCCCAAUCAUAGGGCUAGACUCAUUCCUAUCUCAGCAAUCCCGCAUCGACCGAGAAGCCACGAACGACACCUUCCUCAUCCUCCCAUCCACGAUCAAAUCGUCCCUCUCCCACUCUCACCCAAACCCCCACAUCCCAACCCUAAUCUCCUCCCUCCUGUCUCUCUCCCUCCCUUUUUCCCUCUCUCUCCGCCUCGUCGGCGACUUCCCCUCCGACACCCCCUCCCUCCUCUCCUCCUUCCUCUCCGCCGCCUCCUCCCCCUCCCACCACUUCCACCUCAUCUCCCCCUUCCCCUCCCAACCCCACCCUCUCUCCCUCUCCCACACUCUCCACCUCCACCUCUCCCACUCUCCCUCCUCUCUCUCCCAAGCCCUCUCCCAAGCCCUCUCCUCCCUCAUCAACUCCACCCCCUCCCCUCUCCGCUCCUCCCUCACCCCAAUCCCUUACUCCCCCAUCGACGAAAUCAUCAAGCGCGAUUACCACUCCCUCAAGCCCGUCCAAGGCGUCUACAUCUACCUCAUCAAUUUGUCUCGCCCCAAACCCUAUGCUUAUAGCUUCAACGAAGGCUCCGGUGACUCGUCCCCAGCUGUCACUAAAUGCCUCGGCAGCGUUUGGACUGCUAAGGAGCGUUAUGUCUGGAUCGACUUAGGUGCCGGCCCCUUCGAUUACGGCCCUGCAAUAUCCGGUGACGGUGUCAUCCCCCGUGGCGAGUUUCACCCGCUCGCUGCCGCCCAUGGCCGCCCCAAGUCCCAGAAGGCAUUUGCCGCCGACCUUGCCUCCUUGGUGUGGAGUGCAUAUCAGGUUUUUAUGGUGCCUUCGCUGAGGAUUCCGGUUCCCUUCGAGAAUUCGCUGGUUGUGCAGUUUGUGCAUAUUUAUUCAGGGGAGAAGGACCCUCGUGGAUUGGAAUGGAGCGCGAUUGAGAAGGUUUUCAAGGAUGAGGUUGGUGAGAAUGGGCUUUUGUUGGGUUCUCAGUCAUUGACCUUUAAGUCCUUUGAGGUUAAGUACACUGAGUGUGCUGUUUGUUCGUUUGCAAUUUCACGGUCGAUGAAUUCGUAUACUUCUAGGUUCUUGUUUGAUAAUUAUACAUUGAUUGUGAGUGAGUACUUGGACUCUAAGAGGCUGCAUCAGAUUCUAUCUGAUUCAGCUGACGAGAUUAGGAAGUCUGCCGGGAUGCCGGAGGAGGAUUUUGGUAGGAUUGUGCCGGUGUAUGUGUUUGAUUUGGACUACAAUUCGCUUCUGUUGUUGGAUAGGUACCAUCAGAGUGUUGCUUUUAAGGAUAUGGUUAUUGCAGUUAGGACCAGGAAUACACAGACUGUCAGUGAUUAUAGCUGUAAUGGCCGGCAUGUGUUUACACAGACGAGAGAGCUCGUGAGGCCGCUGGUUGGAUCGAUCCUGCAGAGCAUGUGGGGAGUUUCACCAACACAUCUUUCUUGGAGCCCAAGGCACAACAGUACCCUGGUGGAUUAUACUUGGAGCAUAGGGCAGACACCGUUUGGGCCAUUCUCUGAGCUGUCGUCUCUGUCCUUUGUGCAGAAAGAUGCAGCGCGGAGGAAUAUUCUGUUGACGACAAUGAAUUACAGCAUAUCAAGCGCUAUAGAUGUCCUUCAGUCCAUUGAAACACAUGGGGGAGACAGGAAUCUGCUCAAGGGGAAGCAACAUGUUGAUUUUGUUCAGAGGUGGAACCUUUUCAAGCACAAGCUGAACAAGGCUGUGUCUGCACUGUCGCAUUUGGAUUUCGAGAUGGCUUUGUAUUACUUGAGGUCUUCCGAUCAUGAUCUGUAUGCCAUUCACUCAAUUGUUUAUCAUGCUUCUCAGGAGAUUGAGGCAUCCCUUGUGUGCUUUAAGGACCCUUCAUUUCCCUGGGCUUCAGUUUCAUUCUCGGCAGUGGCUUUCCUUUUCCUCUCUUAUGUUUAUGCGAAACGAGAUAAGCUUUUCAGAAACAAAAGAAAGCAAUUUUAAAUUUUGAUGCCAUCACAUGAGGACAGAAAGUCUGUAAGAUUUUAACAAAACCCAACACAUGUAUCAUUGUAGAAGAGUUAAAAACAAGGGGAGCGAUAAUUACAUGGAAACUAGAGGAUGAACUUAUUUUAGCCUCUUUUGCCAACCGAAGUCAGAGAGUUCUGAAUUUGUUUCAUCUUUGUUGCUAUAAAAACCCUAGAGUGUGGUUGAAGGGAAGAGGUUUGUCCUCCUUUAACUAAACGUUGUCAAGAUGCCUACAAACUAGCAAGGAAUUAGUUACCGAAUUUAAUGAUAAAUAUUCCG